UUUUUUUUUAAAUUUAUUUAUUCAUGAUAGUCACACGGAGAGAGAGAGAGAGGCAGAGACACAGGCAGAGGGAGAAGCAGGCUCCAUGCACCGGGAGCCUGACGUGGGAUUUGAUCCCGGGUCUCCAGGAUCGCGCCCUGGGCCAAAGGCAGGCGCCAAACCGCUGCGCCACCCAGGGAUCCCUGGUUUCAAAUAAUUUAAAUGGGAGAAAAACUGAUAAACAUCCUCUGUCCCAUAAGCUUAGCAAAUCUUGUUUCCUAUCAUAUAGAGAUACUAUACACUACCUCAAUCCAAUUUAUCAAUUAUGAAUCACAGACUUAUGUUAUAUUUACAUAACUAUACCAUAUUUUAUUAUACUCAUCUCUAUACCUGUAGCACUUUUUAAAUUUUUUAAAAAUAUUUGUUUGUUUGUUGUUUAUUGGGACACCCGGGUGGCUCAGUGGUUGAACGCAGGCCUUCGGGUCGGGGCGUGACUCCAGAAUCCCCCCGAUCGAUCCCACAUCAGACUCCCUGCAUGGAGCCUGCUUCUCCCUCUACUUAUGUCUUUGCCUCUCUCUCUCUCUCAUGGAUAAAUAAAUAAAAUCUUUUUUAAAAAUCACUUUAAAAAAUAUAUUUAUUUGUUUGAGAGAAAGAAAAAGCAUGAGAGAGCAUGAGUGGGGAGAGAGAGAAGCAGGCUUGCGCUGAGCACAGAACUGGACACAGGACUCAAUCCUGGGACUCCAGGAUCAUGACCUGAGUCAAAGGCAGACACUUAACAGACUGAGCCAUCUAGGCACCCCUCUGUAGCACUUUUUUAAAAAAUACACAAUAUAGCAGUGCCUGGCCUAUUCAGUCAGAGAAGCAUGUGACUCUUGAUCUCAGGGUCAUGUUGAGUUCAAGCCCCAUGUUGUGCACAGGGAUUACUUAAGUAAAACUUAAAAUAUAUAUAUAAUAUAUAUACACAUAAUAUAUGUAUUUCACAUCUCCUUAAAAAAAAAAGGAUCACCCACAUGUAAUGUGAUCAAAGUUUAAGUUAUCACCGUUUCUUUUUUAGUUAACCAUUAACAGAUAGAUGCCCAUUGAUAGAUGAAUGGGUAAAGAGGAUGUAGCACAUUUUAUUUACACACACACACAAACACACACACGAAUAUUACUCAGCCAUAAAAAAAAAAAAUGAAUGAAAUCUUGUCCUUUGGAAGAGCAUGGAUAGAACUAGAGGAUAUGAUGCUAAGUGAAAUAAGUCAGAGAAAGACAUGAUUUCAUGUAUGUGUGGAAUCCAUAAAACAAGACAAACAAAACAGAAGCAAAGUCAUAGAUACAGAAAACAAACUGUUGGUUACCAGAGAGGGGAGUAUUUGGGAGGCUCACAAAACAGGUAAAAGGGAUUAAGAGGUACAAAAACUUCCAGUUAUAAAAUCACUAGUCAAAAAAAAUAAAAAAUAAAUAAAAUAAAAUCAUUAUGUCAUGGGGAUAUAAUGUACAACAUAGGAAAUAUAGUCAAUAAUACUGUAAGAACUUUGCAUGGUAAUUAGACUUCCAGGGAUUUCAUAAUAUAUAAAAAUAUCAAAUCACUAUGAUAUACACCUAAGACUAAUAAAGAUACUGUAUGCCAAUUACACUUCUACUUUAAAAAUCAAGUUGUACUAUAGGCCUACCCUACCAAUAAUCUUGACACUAUUAUUUCCUUACUUUCCUUCUAAAUACAGUUAUAAUUGUAUUUUUCAUUGUGUUUUUUCUCCUCAAACUUAAAACUAGGAAAGCUUCCUCUUGGAUUUUUUCCCCUCAGUUCUUGCAUUUUUCCUCAGUCUUCCAUCUUGAUCUGAUCCAUUUCCAGAAUUGGAAAGGUGUAGCAAAAGCAAAACUGAAAAGUCAUAUUUCCUUAAACUUUCCAAAUCCCUAAUAGUAACAAUUUAAUGCACUUAAUGGUUUGUGGGCAACUUCCAAAAAGUAUCACAAGCCUAUGAAUAUUAUGCCUCAGAACUAUUUUAGAAAUCAUUGUAUACUUGCAGGAAGGGCAAACAAUUUACUUGUAAGUCCCAUCAACCAAUCAGCAAAUGAAAAAUUGUGGCUGUGGGGCACCUGAGUGGCUCAAUUGAUUAAGCACCCAGCUUCAGCUCAGGUCCUGAUCUCAGGGUGCUGGGAUCCAGCCCUGGCUCAUCGGGGAGUCUGCUUAUCCCUCUCCAUUGCCCCUCCCUCUGCACCUGCUCACCUCUCUUUCAUACAUAUAAAUAAAAAAAAAUAUUUUAAAGCUAUUGUUAUAUUCUGUGGGCAUUUUUAUUCUCAAACUAUUUAUGGUUAUCAAUUCUCAACUGGAAGCAGCAAUCAAUUGAAAUUCAGUAAAUUUUAGCUUGAUAAAACAAAUGCUAACAGCACCUGGUGGCUCAGUCGGUUAAGUAUCUGCCUUAGGCUCAGGUCAUGAUCCCAGGGUCCUGAGAUCAAGUCCCACAUCAGGCUCCCUGCUCCUUUGGGACCCUGCUUCUCCUUCUCCCUCUGCCUGCCACUCCCCCCUCCUGUGCUCUCUCUGUCAAAUGAAUGAAUGAAUGAAUGAAUGAAUGCUAACAUAGUCAUCAUAUGAUAUAUAUUAGCCAGAGUGACAGUAACUACCUAACAUUUAACCAAAGCAAGUUAACCAAGGCAGAGGGUUUUAGCUACCACUAAUCUACCACUGCAACAAAUACUUUGAAAAUUGCAUAUGUAUACAAUUUUUUAAAGAUUUACUUAUUUCAGAGAAAGAAUGAAAGAGAACGAGCACACAUGGGGGAGGGGCAGAGGGAGGGGAAGAGAACCUCAAGAGGACUCCCCGCAGAGCAUGAUGACCUGAGCCCAAUCAAGGGUCAGACACUUAACCUACUGAGCCACCCAAGUACCCCCAAUUCUUUUUAUAUCAUACCUUUAAACAUAGCAUUAAAAAGCUACUGAUUAUUACAUUUCCGAAUUUAGAUGAGUCAUAGUGCUUUGUAUGCAGGACUUGAAUGUGAAUCAAAAUUGUAAAUAAGCACUUGCUUGCUAGUCAAAAAUUCAAUGUGGACAGAUUCAGAAAGAUUAAAGCAUAUAAUCGUAAUAUACAUUGUGUUUUUAAAACGGUCACUUCCCAACCGUUAACAAAGUUCAGUAAACAUGCCAAUUGCCCCUCCUCUCCUUGAACAUCUAAAAAUUACAGAAUACUUCUAAUCCCAUUGCCUCACUUUACAGACUGGCACCCGAGACCUCGGGUCUUUCAAAAUACAUCUAGCUAGCAGGAUUACAGCACCUCGGGCCACCAUGGUCUGAGGUUUACUGGAGGUGAAAGUAAGAAAAAAAAAUGAAGUCUCAGAGGAGCUCUAUCCUAGGAUAUAGAUUCAUGAGCUUCUACACCUAAAUCUGGAACAUGAAAUUGAAACAUCAAACAACAACAACAAAAAAUUACAACUCAAAUCUAGACAAUAAAACUGGCAACUCAAAUGAGAGAAAAGGCAGGGAAUGCCCAUUUUACUCAUAAGACCCUGAUCAUCAAGGAAUUAUAAAAAAAAAAAAAAGUUUGUUGAAUGGAUGAAUGAAUGAUUGUAUGAUACUUGAUACGAUGACUUGAUCGAUUUUAGAAGCUCCAAUUUCAGGAGCUAACCUGAAGGAUCAUGAUGCCAUAGCGGAAAUUAAAACUCACGGUGCAACACACAGCCCCUAUGUGCAGCACAACAGCCAAGUCUCUGCAAAUCUCCGCAUAGCUGUUGCAGGUAUUUCAUGUAUAUAUUUAUGAACUAUUUUUUCGGGUAAUUCCCGCAAAGGAGGACAGAGCCAGAGAACCGGUAAGUCUGAAAACAGGCCCUGCUCACCCAUAAGCCUUUGCAUGAAAGUGGACAGGAUCUGAGUGAGUCACUGAUAAUAAUCAGAGCGUCCCCCCAGCCAGAGGACGCGGCCCGGCAUCGCCGGCAGGCACUGCCUUUAACUAGGGAACCGGUCAGGGGAGAGUGGAGCCACCGCAACCUGCUGCAGGUAAGUAAGCAAGGCUCGCGCCGAUCUGUUUGCGAGUGGAGAUCCUGCUGAGCCCCGUCGCAGGCACCAGGGCCGGCCCCGCCCAGCCGUCGCGCAGCUCUCCUACGCACAAGGCCCGGUCCUCCGCGAGUUCAGGGCCCACCCAGGACGGGACGAGGGCGGACGGCAAGGCCGGUCCCCUCCCAGGCCACCCACGCCCCGGCGCGGCCCUGCCGCCACACGCUCCCCUGCCCCAUCUCCCACGCAGCCCCAGGCCCGCAGGGCCUAAGCCGCCCUCCACGCCGAGCUGAGACAGGCCACGAGCGGGUGCGAUCCCGCGGCCCCGGAGCAGGGGCCAGCCGCACGGAGCACGGAGCACGGAGCACGCCGCACGCCGCACGCAGCGCGCCGCCCGCACAGCUUACCUCCCUUCU
rnacentral:lncRNA from 1 species